AUGGCKGUCGUCAGCUCGUGUCGUGAGAUGUUGGGUUAAGUCCCGCAACGAGCGCAACCCACGUCUUUAGUUGCCAGCAUUCAGUUGGGCACUCUAGAGAGACCGCCGGUGAUAAACCGGAGGAAGGUGUGGAUGACGUCAAGUCAUCAUGCCCCUUACAUCCUGGGCUACACACGUACUACAAUGCUACGGACAAAGGGCAGCAAACUCGCGAGAGCUAGCAAAUCCCAUAAACCGUGGCUCAGUUCAGAUCGUAGGCUGCAMYUCSCYUACGUGAAGGAGGAAUCGCUAGUAAUCGCAGGUCAGCAUACUGCGGUGAAUACGUUCCCGGGCCUUGUACACACCGCCCGUCACACCAUGGAAGUUGGCCAUGCCCGAAGUCGUUACUCCAACCCGCAAGGGAGGAGGACGCCGAAGGUGGGGCUGAUGACUGGGGUGAAGUCGUAACAAGGUAGCCGUACCGGAAGGUGCGGCUGGAUCACCUCCUAAC
rnacentral:rRNA from 1 species